AGAGUUUGAUCAUGGCUCAGGACGAACGCUGGCGGCGUGCUUAACACAUGCAAGUCGAACGGACUCAGUCGGUGGUAACACCGGCGAAAGUUAGUGGCGAACGGGUGCGUAACACGUGAGCAACCUACCCUAGAGACUGGGAUAACACCGGGAAACCGGUGCUAAUACCGGAUACCCCCAUUCCACCGCAUGAUGGAGUGAGGAAAUGUUUUUUCGCUCUUGGAGGGGCUCGCGGCCUAUCAGCUUGUUGGUGAGGUAACGGCUCACCAAGGCUUCGACGGGUAGCUGGUCUGAGAGGACGACCAGCCACACUGGGACUGAGACACGGCCCAGACUCCUACGGGAGGCAGCAGUGGGGAAUAUUGCGCAAUGGGCGAAAGCCUGACGCAGCAACGCCGCGUGGAGGAUGAAGGCUCUCGGGUUGUAAACUCCUUUCAGCAGGGAAGAAAUUGACGGUACCUGCAGAAGAAGCACCGGCCAACUACGUGCCAGCAGCCGCGGUAAUACGUAGGGUGCAAGCGUUGUCCGGAUUCAUUGGGCGUAAAGAGCUCGUAGGCGGCUUGGCAAGUCAGAUGUGAAACCCUCAGGCUCAACCUGGGGGAUGCCAUCUGAUACUGCUAUGGCUAGAGUAUGGUAGGGGACUACGGAAUUCCUGGUGUAGCGGUGAAAUGCGCAGAUAUCAGGAGGAACACCAGUGGCGAAGGCGGUAGUCUGGGCCAUUACUGACGCUGAGGAGCGAAAGCGUGGGGAGCGAACAGGAUUAGAUACCCUGGUAGUCCACGCCGUAAACGUUGGGCACUAGGUGUGGGGUCUAUUUCGACGGACUCCGUGCCGUAGCUAACGCAUUAAGUGCCCCG
rnacentral:rRNA from 1 species